CCUACGGGGGGCAGCAGUGAGGAAUAUUGGGCAAUGGAGGCAACUCUGACCCAGCCAUGCCGCGUGAGUGAAGAAGGUUUUCGGAUUGUAAAGCUCUUUCGGAGGUGACGAGGAUGACGGUAGCAUCUAAAGAAGCCCCGGCUAACUUCGUGCCAGCAGCCGCGGUAAUACGAAGGGGGCAAGCGUUGUUCGGAAUUACUGGGCGUAAAGGGAGUGUAGGCGGUUUAGGAAGAUAGUGGUGAAAUCCCAGCGCUUAACUUUGGAAUUGCCAUUAUAACUAUUAGACUAGAAUUACAGAGAGGCUAGUGGCAUUCCCCUUGUAGAGGUGAUAUUCGUAGAUCUUGGGUAGAACCCCAGUGGCGAAGGCGACUAUCUGGCUGUACCUUGACGCUGAGGCUCGAAAGCCUGGGGAUCAAACAGGAUUAGAUACCCUUGUAGUC
rnacentral:rRNA from 1 species